rnacentral:rRNA from 1 species
UACGAAGGGGGCGAGCGUUGUUCGGAAUUACUGGGCGUAAAGGGCGCGCAGGCGGCUCUGAAAGUCAGAUGUGAAAGCCCCGGGCUUAAACCUGGGAAUUGCCAUUUGAUACUCUGGAGCUUGAGUACGGGAGAGGAGGAGUGGAAUUCCCAGUGUAGAGGUGAAAUUCGUAGAUAUUGGGAAGAACACCAGUGGCGAAGGCGACUCGCUGGACAAGUAUUGACGCUGAGGUGCGAAAGCGUGGGGAGCAAACAGGG